rnacentral:tRNA from 2 species
GCGGGUGUAGUUCAAUGGUAGAACUCCAGCUUCCCAAGCUGGCGGCGCGGGUUCGAUUCCCGUCACCCGCUCCA